GUUACAUUAACAUACAAAAUACAAAGUGUGACUGAAAAUUGAGAAGAAAUUCAGACAAGCAAAAGCUGAAUGGCUCCAAUUGAUGAUCUCUUUCAAAUCAUAAAGUUAUAUCUAGUAAAACACAUACCUGUUUCAAACAUUCAUCCAUAAUCUACAUCUUUGAGGCUUAGGAAGGAUGAGAAUCCUCGAAAACAAAUCCCGAUGCUUCCGCAAGUGCAGACAGAUCUUGCUCUCCACUCAAAACCUUGCCAUUUAUAAUCCACAUAGGGAAGCCUUCGACUCCAACAGCUCUACAUUCCAUGGCCAUUAAUU
rnacentral:misc_RNA from 1 species